UAUUAUUACUAUUUUCCUAUUUUCUUUCUUCCUUUUUACUCCAAUUUUCACUUCUUUGGUGUUCAACUUCUCCAAAUCUUUUAUGUCUGCAACCAGAUCUUCAAAAUCAGAUACAUCAAUGGCGGGUUCACCCAUCAAAAACCCUUAAGUUUUCUUCUCAGCACUUAUCAGUUCCAAUAUGGGUUCGAAUGAAGCAAGUUCGGUGAUUAGUAUAACAAAAUUAGUGUACAUCGCUUAUUAUCACAAGAACAAUUUGGGAUGUCAAACCUGUUAGAUACCUCUAUUAAGAAAAGAUUGUCGGGCCAUGGAUCUCCUCUAGUUUUGCCCAUGCAUAUAUACUUGUAAAACCCUGAUCAAUCCCUUAUCACAGGGUAUGUAAUUGGUGAGUUUCAUAAGGUGAAUGAAUGGAAUGGUUAGUCUCUCCUUUGUGUUUAAUUGUUUCUUUCUUUUUAGUUCUACUGAGAUUACAGUGUCAAGAUUGAAUGGUUGCCUUAUUUGGUUUAGUUCUGUUGUUUGUUGAUUAAAAACCACAAUAGUUUGUUGAAGAUUUAUGUAGGCAGAAUGUUCUUCGGUGUUUCAUUCAUCCUAUGCUAGAACCGUGACCCUUCUCACACGCCUUUUGAUGGUUGGGCAUUGAUCCUAGUGUUAAUUCAUCCGGUUGUGCAUUGACCCUUCACCCUGGGUUGCACAUCGACCCUUCUCCCUGGUUGUGGUUGCACAUCUACCCUUCUCCCCCCUUUGCUCGUCGACCCUUCUCUCCCGGUUGCCCAUUGACCCUUUAUAUUCCUAUGAUGGAAACACAUCGACCCUUCUCACCCACCUAUGAUUGUGGGUAUAAUGCUCCUUCUCAGUCUCACCCCCUUUGACGGUUGGACAUCGACCCUUCUCAGUUCUCACUCGUCUUUAUCUUGUGACAUAGCAAGUGAUUAGUUGCUGGCAUGUGCGGUUUUUUGUCAUUGUGUUUAUCGGUGAUGUUUCAAUGUUACGUUGGAUAUCUGUAGACCUUUUAUUGAGCCCUCUUCAACCCUAUGAAUGAUAGAUGUGGCCAGAAUCUUUUGAGCAAUGUGCGAAUCAGGUAUAAUACAGCUUCACCCUUUUACUUAGCUAUGAACUAUCAAAAUUCUAUAUCUGGUUUUAUAUAUGAAGAGUUUGUUAGUACAUAAGUUUGAAUAAGCAACAAACUGACAUGUUCAAAUGAUCUGCUAACAAAUAAGUUUGUUAUACCAUCUUUUUUUUCCUCUCCACUUGAACUUAAUGAGUGUAACAAGGUUAGUCGGAUUGGCAUUUUCAGAUUACACAUCGAAAUUGAUAAUCCUAACACAUUGCAUAUAUCUUUCCUAACAAUAACUUCAACGAGUGCAUGCACCCUCGCGAUACAAGUCAUGCAACACGUUAGCCGUUCUCCUCCACACCCCAUUUUUAGGCGCACUUUUACCUUGCGAGACUGUGAAGCCGCAAACGAGUCUUUGAUGAAAGAUUAUUUUGAUCCCACACCGGAUCAUGGGCCCGAUAAGCAAAGAAUGGAUGCAAGAGGGUAUCUGGGGUUCACCUCAAUUCAAAAGGUAACUUCUGCUUUACGUAUACUCGCCUACGGAAACACGUACGAUAUCAACGACGAGUAUUUGAAUUUGGGGGAGAAAACAACACAAGAUAGCGUGGAACAAUUCUGCUUUGGUAUAUACAAGUUAUAUGGAAAACAUUACUUAAAAAAUCAUACUUGGAACGACCUUCAACAAAUAUACGAGAUCCAUUUAGAAAAGCAUGGAAUACCCGGCAUGAUUGGUAGAUGGGACUGUCGUCAAUGGCGUUGGUAUAAUUGUCCAACUGCAUGGCGAUGUCAAUAUACACGCGGUGACCAGAAAGGACCAGCUUUGGUUUUACAAGCGGUUGCGUCAUACGACCUUCGGGUUUGUCGGCUUUCUUUGGUCUAGCCGGGUGUAUGAAUGAUAUUAAUACAUUCGAGUGUUCACCGUUGUUAAAGGGCUACACUUCUAGCACGAUACCGAAAGCUGGUUUCCAUGCAAACGGGAAUGACUACGAGCAUGGAUACUAUUUGGGUGAUGGUAUAAACCGGGGUAUUCGAACAAUGUGAAAACGUUUUCUGAAACGCUCGAUGUGGAAAGACAAUAUUUUAAAAGACUACACAAGAGUCUUCGCGAAAGGACAUUAAGAGGUGUUUCGGGGUUCUUCAACAACGAUGACAAUUUAUUAGAAAUCCUUAUCGUAUGUGGGAUAAGGAUAGAAUUCGAAUGGUCAUGUAUGCUUGCAUAAUAUGAUUAUAGAAGACGAUGGAAAAGCAAUAUGGCACAACUAUUUUCCAGAAGAUGUUGAAGGAACGCAAGCAACAAUGGAAUAAAGAAUCUUAAAUGCUCAACUAUUGCGAUCUAAGGAAAUACAUAACGCGUUAAAGGCAGAUUUGGAUGAUGAAAACUACGAGGAAGAAAAAGUAGAAGAAUUCGAAGCUGGGAACUUUGCAGACGGAGGUUUGGAUGAUGAAAAAAACAAAGAGGAAGGAGAGAACGACGAUGACGACGAAGAUUAAAUGUAUUGUUUUUUUAAUUGUAAUCUUUUUUUUUUUAAAUUUGAUAAAAGU